rnacentral:sRNA from 2 species
UAGCCUGUCAUCUGGGGAGUAGCCAGCCGUUCCAGCGCAAAUGGAGCGGGCCUUAUGUCAACAUAUUUGGCCGAGAGGUCAUGGCAUGGGGGACGCGGAACAAUCUGCGUAAGGCGAGACCAAUGGCAUCGGCGCUUUUCUGUCCGGCCGGGCGGGAGGCGACGGUGGCAUUGCGUCUAUCACUUCCGCCCGGCC